GUAGGGUGCAAGCGUUAUCCGGAWUCACUGGGCUUAAAGSGUGCGUAGGCGGGURGGUAAGACAGUGGUGAAAUCCCCGGGCUUAACUUGGGAACUGCCGUUGAUACUACCUGGCUUGAAUAUCGUGGAGGUGRGCGGAAUAUGUCAUGUAGCGGUGAAAUGCUUAGAUAUGASAUAGAAYACCGAUUGCGAAGGCAGCUCACUAGRAGAUAAUUGACGCUSAGGCACGAAAGCGUGGGGAGCAAACAGGAUUAGAUACCCUGGUAGUCCACGCCCUAAACGAUGUCUACUAGUUGUCGGGUCUUAAUUGACUUGGUAACGCAGUAACGCGUGAAGUAGACCGCCUGGGGAGUACGGUCGCAAGAUUA
rnacentral:rRNA from 1 species